rnacentral:rRNA from 1 species
GAGCGGCGAACGGGUGAGUAAUGCUUCGGAAUCUGCCCAAUGGUGGGGAAUAACCAGCCGAAAGGUUGGCUAAUACCGCAUAAGUCACGGGGGAAAGCAGGGGAUCGCAAGACCUUGCGCCGAUGGAUGAGCCGAAGUCGGAUUAGCUAGUUGGUAGGGUAACGGCCUACCAAGGCGACGAUCCGUAGCUGGUCUGAGAGGACGACCAGCCACACUGGGACCGAGACACGGCCCAGACUCCUACGGGAGGCAGCAGUGGGGAAUAUUGGACAAUGGGGGAAACCCUGAUCCAGCGACGCCGCGUGUGUGAAGAAGGCCUGCGGGUUGUAAAGCACUUUUAGUGGGGAUGAAAAGCUCAGGGCUAAUACCUCUGGGUCUUGACCUAACCCACAGAAAAAGCACCGGCUAACUCUGUGCCAGCAGCCGCGGUAAUACAGAGGGUGCGAGCGUUAAUCGGAAUUACUGGGCGUAAAGCGUGCGUAGACGGUUAUGUAAGUCGGGUGUGAAAGCCCCGGGCUCAACCUGGGAAUGCCAUUCGAGACUGCAUAGCUAGGGUGCGGAAGAGGGAAGCGGAAUUUCCGGUGUAGCGGUGAAAUGCGUAGAUAUCGGAAGGAACACCAGUGGCGAAAGCGGCUUCCUGGUCCAGCAC